CGUCGCCGGCGCCGGUGCAGCAACAUCACGGGCCCAGCAGGUAGGGCGCCAGUCAGCGGAGCGGCGAGCGGCCGCAAAAGUGAAAAGCGGCUCACCGACCGACCGACUGCCCCGCGUGACGUAACAGCGCAGCUACAGCUGUAGCAGCAGGCGCGGUAUUACGGCACAGUGCGCGUCUCUCUCUGGCCAGCGCGCAGCUGCCGCCGCCGCGGCGCGCCCAGAGCACCUCGUCACGUCACGUGGUCUGGCUUCGGCUCGCGUCCACCUGCUGAUCGCACAGUGACGACCAUACGCGGCUCUUCGAGCUCUCUCAGGAGGAUGCUGGUGUCGGAAGCUGCGCCCGUGUGGUGGGCGCUGGUGCUGUACGCGGCGCUGCUGCUGAUGCUGAGCCCGUGUGUGCUGCUCGUGCUGGUGUGCCUGCCCCACCUGCCGCUGCUGCUGCUGCGGCGCGUCCUCUUCAUCCCCAUGGAGGCCGUCUGAGGUGGCGACAGCCCAGUGACCAGCCAGCGAGCCAGUCAACUCCUACCUGCUGCUGCUGCCACGCCAAUGUCUGCUGCUGGUGCUUGUGUACAGCAGAAGAACAGCAUCUUCAUCACUGUGGAGGUAGUCUUGAGUGAUGAGGAUCACCUGUCCAGCCAACCAACCACUGCAACAAACCAUCUCCCUGCUGCUUCAGAUGGUGGGUCCAUGUGUACAGCUGGUGCUCUUCUGCCAGAACCAUCUGUUGCUGCUACAGUGGCUCACCUUAAUCGCAAUAGUGCCAGUCUGAGAUGAUGGGACAUCAUUCCAAGCAUCCUGCCAAUCUAGUCGUACCUGUUGCUGUUGUUCCUUGUGUUCAUAUGCCAGCCACACUCAUUUAUGCUGAAAUACGUCCUGUUCAUUCCCUUAGUGGCUGCCUAGUAUGAUGAGAACCACCCACAGAACUAGCCAACUACUCAACACCUACCUGCUGCUUCUGAUUUGUUGGUGUUCGUCCAUCAGCAGCACCUGCUAUUCUAGAAGUUCACCCUCUUCAUCCCAGCACGUCUGAGACGAUGGGGCAGCCAUGGGACUGACCAACCAGCCAGUCAACUCCUACCUGCUGCUGUUGAUAACAGUGCUCAAGUAGCACCCUCAGUUGUCACUGCUCCAGUUCAUCCACUUCAUUGUCAUUGCAGCUGUCAAAGAACGACAUUCUCAGCCAUCCGAACACUUACCACUAAUAUGUGCUGGUGAUGAUGAGUCUAUGUGUGGAGCUGUUGCUUGUCUGUCAGACCCACCCGUCACUGCUGGAGUGUAUCAUCUUCAUCCCCACGGAGCCUGAGAUGAUGGGAGAGUGAUGGGACAAACCGACCAGAUGACCAACUCCUACCUGCUGCUGCUGACACUGAUGCUCAUAUGCCAGCCACACCUGUUGCUACUGCAGGUCAUUUCUCGUGGUCGUGCGGUAGCGUUUUCGCUUCCCACGCCCGGGUUCCCGGGGUCAGGGAUUUUCUCUGCCUCGUGAUGGCUGGGUGUUGUGUGAUGUCCUUAGGUUGGUUAGGUUUAAGUAGUUCUAAGUUCUAGGGGACUGAUGACCAUAGUGCUCAGAGCGAUUUGAACCAUUUUUUACUGCAGAUCCAAGGCAGCAGCCUAAGAAGAUAAGCACUUGCUGAAGCAGCCAACCACUUGUUUCUGAUGCUUAAUCCAUGCGUGCUGCUGGAGAUCAUUUGCCUGCUUCACUUGUCGUCGCUGAAGUAUAUCCAAUUCAUCUCCAUGGAGCCUGUCUGAGAUCCACAGGCCCAGCCAGCCAACAACGAAAUGCCUAACUGCUGCUGUCGCUGCCAUUGAUUCUCCUGUGACAUCCUCAUGUGUUGCCACUGCAGUACCUCCUCUUCAUAGCCAUGGCAGUUAAGAUAAUUACAGCCGUUUGCUCACCCAACCAACCACUCAGACCCCGUGUAUGUGCUGCGCACUAGCAUGUAGCUAUCUCUCAUUUAGCUGCUCGAAUUUUUGCCGUUACAGUGCAUCCUCCUUGUCUCCUUGCAGCCAACCUCAUCACCAACCUGCAUUGUGUGUGGUGUCGCGAAGUGAUUUUUCCAGGGACUAUGCCACUCUCCACUGCUGUAGCAAGUCAGUUCCGUGUGUCUGAGUGGACCGCCAUAUAGUGUAGCUCUCAGUGCAGAACUCUGUGUUGUUACGGGCAGUGAGUGAGCCGAGCUAGCCCUGGGAGUUAUACCAGGUUCCCAUUAAUAACCAUUGUCGUUAUAAUAUUAUCAGUACACUGUUAGUAUAAGCAGUUUGCUCAGAAAGUACAUAUUGUAGACUUGCUAUAAUUGUGUUCAUAAAUGAGCAAUAACUUUUGUAUACUUAAUUACAUAUGUUUUCAAUUUUAA